UCCUAGCCUCCAGAAACGUGAGAAAUAAAUCUUCCCCAUUGAGAAAGAACAUCACACUGGGGAAGAGGUGGAACUAUUCAGAGCACUUGAGAUAGAAGGAGAGAGUGGGAGAAGGAACCAGGCAUUUCAGAGGGGUCUUUCUAUUGAGCAAGCUUGCCUGUGAGGUCAACACUGUGAAGAAAAAGUGGACUUAAAGUGAACAUUGUGGGACAUACUGGAAGUCAAGAAGAAGUCCCAGCCACACCUGAGAGCAUCUGAAGCACUAUUAAAAACUGAAGUGAGU